rnacentral:rRNA from 1 species
UGGGGAAUUUUGGACAAUGGGCGAAAGCCUGAUCCAGCAAUGCCGCGUGUGUGAAGAAGGCCUUCGGGUUGUAAAGCACUUUUGUCCGGAAAGAAAUCCUUGGCUCUAAUACAGUCGGGGGAUGACGGUACCGGAAGAAUAAGCACCGGCUAACUACGUGCCAGCAGCCGCGGUAAUACGUAGGGUGCAAGCGUUAAUCGGAAUUACUGGGCGUAAAGCGUGCGCAGGCGGUUUGCUAAGACCGAUGUGAAAUCCCCGGGCUCAACCUGGGAACUGCAUUGGUGACUGGCAGGCUAGAGUAUGGCAGAGGGGGGUAGAAUUCCACGUGUAGCAGUGAAAUGCGUAGAGAUGUGGAGGAAUACCGAUGGCGAAGGCAGCCCCCUGGCAAGUACUGACGCUCAUGCACGAAAGCGUGGGGAGCAAACNGGAUUAAUNCCCUGGUAGUCCACGCCCCUAAANGAUGUCAACUAGUUGUUGGGGGAUUCAUUUUCCUUAGUAACGUAGCUAACGCGUGAGUUGACCGCCUGGGGAUACGGUCGCAAGAUUAAAACUCAAAUAAUUGACGGGGUCAUGCUG